rnacentral:lncRNA from 1 species
AUAAAUAGAUCCAAGUUCGGAUUUCUUGAGCACUAAUGCCCUGCUAUUGCUGGGUUAUGUGAAACCCUUUCUUAUGUUGAACACAAGAAGCCCAUGAUUAUUGGUACCACAGAUUCUCACAUUCUUAAUCAGUUCCACCUGGCCAAUAAACAGUAAAGCCAGGACAGCUUCUCUUCUGUGUGGCUUUCCUACUUUAUGGGUAAUAAAGCUGUCCUCAGUGUGAUUUAGGAGUCCCUUUGAUGCCUGCUAGUUUACUGUAUUGGUAUUUCAGGGGUGUUGGCAGUCAGCGGUGAGACUGCACUCCUGGCAUCUCAGAACUGUGGCAGUGAGCUCACCCGGCUAAAUAGCGGGGGAAACACAGCUGAUCUACAAUCGCAUUGGAGCAGCAAUGCAUCACUGGAGUUGAGGCCCUUUAAUGCUCACUGCUGACCCCUGUCUUCAUAGCAUCGUGCUGAUGACCGUUCGUGGUUUAAAGAUCAUAUUUGCUCAUUUUAAAGACUGUGGUUUGGACACCAAACAGCUGAAACUGGAAAUAAUUAAACCAAGGAACUCAGCCUCCCUUGUCCGUACCAGCAGGAGUGGCAUCGGCCAGGUGAGUCCUGCCAGCUGUGUAGAGCUGGUGGCGGUCCUGGUGGAUUGCUGUGUGUGUUCUGACGAGCUGGUGCUCAUUCAUAGUGUCGUGAUCGCCACAGAGCGGCAGGGAGUUUUCAUUUGUUCACACCAGAAACUUGCGUGUGCUGCUCUCUCUUUCUGCUCAAUUUUACUUCCUCUAAUACUGAAUUCUCAGACAUAUUAGACCUAGUACUCUUCGUAUAUGUUACUCGGUGACUUCUAAAAACUCCAGAAUAGAGUUGAUCACAACUUCAUUUGUGUUUUUACUUUACAAAGGAAACAGCCUUAUUCAGGUGCUUACCAAUGUCUAGCAUAAUUCCUGAGCACUGGGGACUUUAGCUGUGAACUUUUUUUUUUUUAAAUUAAAAAAUAAUUGUUAAACUUGCCUUGUACUUUACAAUUUUUACCCUUUUGUUCUUUGGGGCAAUUAUAUUUUAGUCAGAUGUUAUAGAGUCUAACUAGGACCUUCUACCUUUCUAUAUAUCCUAGAUUUUUUAAAAUAUUCUUUCAUCUUUCAAUUAAUGAAUUCUUCCAAC